rnacentral:sRNA from 1 species
CAUCUCAGCCAUCCCAGCCAUACCAGCAGUCCC